rnacentral:rRNA from 1 species
AUGAAGCACAGAAUGGUAAAGGGAUAUCAGGUGGGCAAGGUUUUGUUCCGCCCUUACGAGGACAUAUGUGGGAUCGGGCACUCCAUGGGCUUUUCCUCGGCCUUGGUUCCUGGAUCAGGCGAGCCAUACUUCGAUACCUUUGUUGACAACCCCAUGGAGACCGGCAAGCAAAGGCGGGAGAAGGAGGUGCGGUCCCUUCUUGACAAGCUCCAACCAGAGACCAUCAUGCUUGAUCCGAAUGUGAUAGCCACCGUAAGACAACUGAAGAAGAAAGAGAAGAAAACCAAGAAAGAGAUCAAGGACGAGAUUGAAGGUGCCGUCGAGGCCGCCAAGAACAUUAGGGUCAAGAAGAAGACCAAGGGUAGGAGUAAGCCGAGCAGGCGGGCCAAGAAGGAGGAGGAGGAGGUUCUCAGAGCCAAGAGGCCUUUGUUGGAUCAACACAAGGAAGGCAGUGGGCACCCGGAUAAGAAACAGCGGAUCGGCGAUGAGACCGAGCUGCCGAAAGCAUUGCAGCGGUUUGCCAAGAACAGGCAAUCGUGA